rnacentral:rRNA from 1 species
GGAGGCAGCAGUGGGGAAUUUUGGACAAUGGGCGCAAGCCUGAUCCAGCAAUGCCGCGUGCAGGAUGAAGGCCUUCGGGUUGUAAACUGCUUUUGUACGGAACGAAACGGUUCUUUCUAAUAAAGAGGGCUAAUGACGGUACCGUAAGAAUAAGCACCGGCUAACUACGUGCCAGCAGCCGCGGUAAUACGUAGGGUGCGAGCGUUAAUCGGAAUUACUGGGCGUAAAGCGUGCGCAGGCGGCUUUGCAAGACAGAGGUGAAAUCCCCGGGCUCAACCUGGGAACUGCCUUUGUGACUGCAAGGCUAGAGUACGGCAGAGGGAGAUGGAAUUCCGCGUGUAGCAGUGAAAUGCGUAGAUAUGCGGAGGAACACCGAUGGCGAAGGCAAUCUCCUGGGCCUGUACUGACGCUCAUGCACGAAAGCGUGGGGAGCAAACAGGAUUAGAUACCCUGGUAGUCCACGCCCUAAACGAUGUCAACUAGGUGUUGGGUGGGUAAAACCAUUUAGUACCGGAGCUAACGCGUGAAGUUGACCGCCUGGGGAGUACGGCCGCAAGGUUAAAACUCAAAGGAAUUGAC